CGGGGAAACAGGUAUGGAUAGUGUUUGUAUGAACCAGCAGUUGGAUAUACGACAACCCAACGACGAUCGUCACUUUGAAAACAUUCAGCCUUCAAGUUUCACCAAUGUUGUUGUCUUGUGGCCAGGGGCAACCCAUGAUGCCCACAUCUACAACAACUGUUCACUGAAGAGAGCUUUGGAGGAAGAAAAACCAGAUGGAUGGCUGCUUGGUGAUUCAGGUUGUGUACGGGGACACGGCUGGCCAAAUCGUCAAUUCGCUAUGCAGAGAGGUGUCCCUGUGGCACGGCAGAAACCUAUGACAGUGUGUUCGAAUCCCGUUUCGCCCCGAUUAUGGAGUCAGCACCAUACCCGUGCU